AACGCUAGCUACAGGCUUAACACAUACAAGUCGAGGGGCAGCACUAGGUAGCAAUACUGAGGUGGCGACCGGCGCACGGGUGCGUAACGCGUAUCCAACCUUCCCGUUACUCUUGGAUAGCCUUCCGAAAGGGAGAUUAAUACAAGAUGGUAUUCAAAUUCCGCAUGUUAUUUGAAUUAAAGAUUUAUCGGUAACGGAUGGGGAUGCGUGACAUUAGAUAGUAGGCGGGGUAACGGCCCACCUAGUCUACGAUGUCUAGGGGUUCUGAGAGGAAGGUCCCCCACACUGGAACUGAGACACGGUCCAGACUCCUACGGGAGGCAGCAGUGAGGAAUAUUGGUCAAUGGUCGGAAGACUGAACCAGCCAAGUAGCGUGAAGGAUGAAGGUUCUAUGGAUUGUAAACUUCUUUUAUACGGGAAUAAAACACCUUACGUGUAGGGUCUUGUAUGUACCGUAUGAAUAAGCACCGGCUAACUCCGUGCCAGCAGCCGCGGUAAUACGGAGGAUGCGAGCGUUAUCCGGAUUUAUUGGGUUUAAAGGGAGCGUAGACGGGAUGUUAAGUCAGUUGUGAAAGGCUGCGGCUCAACCGCAGCACUGCAGUUGAUACUGGCGUCCUUGAGUGCGGUUGAGGUAUGUGGAAUUCGUGGUGUAGCGGUGAAAUGCUUAGAUAUCACGAAGAACUCCGAUUG
rnacentral:rRNA from 1 species